rnacentral:rRNA from 1 species
CGGACGGGUGAGUAACGCGUAGGAAUCUGCCCAGUAGUGGGGGACAACCCGGGGAAACUCGGGCUAAUACCGCAUACGCCCUACGGGGGAAAGAUGGCCUCUCCUUGGAAGCUGUCACUAUUGGAUGAGCCUGCGUCGGAUUAGCUAGUUGGUAGGGUAAAGGCCUACCAAGGCGACGAUCCGUAGCUGGUCUGAGAGGACGACCAGCCACACUGGGACUGAGACACGGCCCAGACUCCUACGGGAGGCAGCAGUGGGGAAUAUUGCACAAUGGGGGCAACCCUGAUGCGGCAAUGCCGCGUGUGUGAAGAAGGCCUGCGGGUUGUAAAGCACUUUCAAUUGGGAAGAAAAGAUGAGGGUGAAUAGCCCUUGUUCCUGACGUUACCUUUAGAAGAAGCACCGGCUAACUCCGUGCCAGCAGCCGCGGUAAUACGGAGGGUGCGAGCGUUAAUCGGAAUUACUGGGCGUAAAGCGCGCGUAGGCGGUUUAGUCAGUCAGAUGUGAAAGCCCUGGGCUCAACCUGGGAAUUGCAUUUGAUACUGCCUGACUAGAGUAUGGUAGAGGGAAGUGGAAUUCCAGGUGUAGCGGUGAAAUGCGUAGAUAUCUGGAGGAACAUCAGUGGCGAAGGCGACUUCCUGGACCAAUACUGACGCUCAGGCGCGAAAGCGUGGGUAGCAAACAGGAUUAGAUACCC